UACGAAGGGGGCUAGCGUUGCUCGGAAUCACUGGCGUAAAGCGCACGUAGGCGGAUUUCUAAGUCAGGGGUGAAAUCCUGGAGCUCAACUCCAGAACUGCCUUUGAUACUGGGAAUCUCGAGUCCGGGAGAGGUGAGUGGAACUGCGAGUGUAGAGGUGAAAUUCGUAGAUAUUCGCAAGAACACCAGUGGCGAAGGCGGCUCACUGGCCCGGUACUGACGCUGAGGUGCGAAAGCGUGGGGAGCAAACAGGGAUAGAA
rnacentral:rRNA from 1 species